AUUGAACGCUGGCGGCAGGCCUAACACAUGCAAGUCGAGCGGCUGAAGGGAGCUUGCUCCUGGAUUCAGCGGCGGACGGGUGAGUAAUGCCUAGGAAUCUGCCUGGUAGUGGGGGAUAACGUCCGGAAACGGGCGCUAAUACCGCAUACGUCCUGAGGGAGAAAGUGGGGGAUCUUCGGACCUCACGCUAUCAGAUGAGCCUAGGCCGGAUUAGCUAGUUGGUGGGGUAAAGGCCUACCAAGGCGACGAUCCGUAACUGGUCUGAGAGGAUGAUCAGUCACACUGGAACUGAGACACGGUCCAGACUCCUACGAGAGGCACCAGUGGGGAAUAUUAGACGAUGGGCGAAAGCCUGAUCCAGCCAUGCCGCGUGAGUGAAGAAGGUCUUCGGAUUGUAAAGCACUUUAAGUUGGGAGGAAGGGCAGUAAGUUAAUACCUUGCUGUUUUGACGUUACCAACAGAAUAAGCACCGGCUAACUUCGUG
rnacentral:rRNA from 1 species